ensembl:lncRNA
UUUGGGUGUGCGGUGUGUGCAGGCCUCCCUCAGAGUGUUGUGACAGGCGGUCAUUACAGCACACGUCUCCACACUCAGCUGCACCAGACGCCGCAUGCAAAUGGACACAAAUGGGCUCCACUGUACGCCGGAGCUAAUGACACUUUCUGCUGCUCUUCUUUAAGGUGGAAGCUGAACGCUCGCGGCUGCACACUUCAUAAAUCAGUGAGGCCCAUUAGAGGACGGGCCCUCGGCAGAUCCUUCGGUCGAGAGCUGCAGGAAGUCAUGGAGGUUUGGCCCGGGACGCCUCCGGAUUACGAGCGCUUCUGUAAGCCUUCGAUUCUUCCAGCUCUAUUCUUUCCCCGGACUCGCCUGAGACCGCGCUCAAACGCCCAGCCAAUGAAAAAAAGAUUACGCCCGGAUACCAAGUGUCUCCCAUCGGCCCCUCAGGCCCCUGCUGGACGAGGAACAAUGUGUAGCAGUGUUCCAGGCGUUUGGGCAACCGGGGCAGUGUGAGCGUUCGGCGGGCUCAGCUGCGGAUGCAGAUUGUGGAAGCGGAGUGGAAGACUUGACAAAGCUGCGGUUUAAAGUGUCUGAGAGCCACACAGAGAGCAGAGCAACCUCGAGUCCCGCAGAGAGACAGACCGCACAGGGACUGAGAUUACCACACAAACAUCACAGAGACAGGACUCUAUACUGGUGCCUCGCAACCAAAAAACUGAAAAAAAAAACAGAAGAGUUGGUCUCACAAAACAGAAUCAUGCACUUGCUCUGAAGCCAGAAUGACUCCAUUAGAGCCUCAUGCUCAUGAAACAUUUGAACUCUCCCUAAAACUAAUAAAACGACAUGUGUUACAUUACAAAUGCCUGCAAGAAAAAAAAAAUGCUAAAUGCAAAAAUAAAUAAAUAAAUUUAUUUUAUAAUCAUGUAUACAGUAGUUCAUCAUCAUAAAUCUGCUUAUCAGCUUAUCAACACUUCUCAUUUAUGUACAGGAGGUGUGUCCAUUCAUGCUUCUCUUGUUUUUGCAUUUACAAAAUUGUUGCAUUUCAUAUUAAUUAUUUUGCAUAUUGUUUCAGAAAUGCAAUUCAUGUUAAUACAAUAUAGUAUAACCAUGAAUUGGAUUGGCCACUGACCAAUAAUAUAUCACAGGUCAUAUCAAUGUAUGGUAAUAUUUAUACAUAUUACCAUAUUUUGUGUUUGUGUGUGUGUGUGUGUGUGUGUGUGUGUGUGUGUGUGUGUAUGUGUGUGAAAUAGUACUUUUUUUGUAAAACGUACACAUUUGUUUGAAAAAUCUUAAAUGUUAUACAUACUGAAAAAUAUUACAUAUUGCACACACAUAAAUUUAAUAUCAUUGUGAUACAUAUAUAUAUAUAUAUAUAUAUAUAUAUAUAUAUGUUAUACAUAUGAUAACAUUUCAUAUUUUAUGUUUUAAUUUUAAUUAACAUUUUAGUAAUAGUAAUUAGUUUUUGUGUUUCUUUUUAAUAUGUUUAUAUAGUUUUUAUUCAUUUUGUUUCAGUUUUAGUUUUGGUUGUUUUAAUAUAUCAACUUAAUCUAAAUGAAAAUUAGAACUGUUAUCUUGGGAACUAGCUGAAAUAAUAAUUAGAUUUUUUUUUUUCUUUUUUUUUAAGUUUUUCAUGGAUGUAGAUAUUUUUGUUGUUUCAGCUUUAGUUAACUAUAUUAACUCUGAUGCAUAACAUAUACUGUAGGCCUAUACAGUUUUUGUACUUUGUUAAAUUAACCAAUGUAAAAUCUGAAUCCUAAACUAGUAAAACUAGUUUGGGAAGCUGAUCUCAGUCAUUUCUGAGAUUUCCUUCAAGAAGAGAUACAUGUGCGAUUACUAGACUUUUGUUUUCAUGUGAAAAAGCAGGAGACUUCAGCAGAACACUGUCUGCAUUACUGUCUAGCAGAAAUAACUGAGAUAUUGAAGAGAUCUGCUUCGUUUUUUGUUUCGUUUUCUGAUUUGUUUUCUGGACAUGAAAUGCAGAUCAGAAACAGUUACUCUGAAACUUCAUUGACAGUCAUGACGGACGUGUGGAGAUCCUGCAGCGUCUGAUGUGUGCUCGAGAGUCUCGGAUCAGUUCAGUGGUGUUAGUGUUUCUUCAGAGACCAUGUCGAGCUGCUUAAGUGCACAAAACACUUUCUUCUAAAAAUCUCCUUCCCACUAGAAAUGUUUCAAUGUUUAAUGCGCUUUAAUGCCAAGUCAAAAUAAUAAUACCAAUACUAGGAACAUUAAUAGCAGUCAAUAGAUUUGAAAUUGAAAACAGCAGAAGAUGAAGCAGCUGGCACAGUGUGUGUGUGUGAGAUUAGUGGGAAUGUGGCUCUUUUGUAGCUCACUUGAUCUCCUCCCCCUCUGAAUUUUCACAUUUCCGCACCGCCGCUGAGAAUGCUGGGAAACCCUCGUGUUAUUUCUGAUUUCUCACUCUUCGGAGAGUCCGCGGCUCCCGUACAGAGAAUCUGAGGAGCCAAACAGCGGCUGAAUUAGACCAUGAAAUUACAGAUAACAUUUAAAAAUAAUCUCAGCAUAAUGAUUACAGCGAGGCCACUGAGACAUUUCUUAAGGCUCUGAAAUUAUCCACACUAUUUAUUGACUUCUUCCACACUCAGCGAUAAGAAUAUGUAAUCAGUUUUUCUGGUAAUUUGUUGUUGUAUCAGGAGGAAGAGUCGAGGAGGGGCGAGUGUUUGUGACGCCGGACAGACGGGUCAGUAACCUCUAAACAACUAAACCUCUCGUUUCUUCCUUUCUCUCCAGCUCUUACUAAAUCGGUGGCUUUGUUAAAGAUCAGAUAGUGUUUAUCAUUUAUUUAAGCCUCUCUCACUCACUUGUUUUCUUGCUCUAAGUGGGUCAGAAACACUGUAUUGGUCUGACCUGCUUCUGUACUUCAUCUAUAAAUAUCACACAGUGCAUAGAGCACAUAUUGAUUGAAAUACCUCAUGCAAUAUAUGUAUUUUAAUUAAAAAAUAAUGAAUUUGUCACUGCAGGACAGUAUAAGUGAAUUGCAAAACAAAAACCUGAAAGGUCAUUCAAAUAGUGAAAAUUAUUUUACAAAAGCCUUGUUAUUUUAGUGCUAUUUUAGAAUAAUUUAGAUGCUGUUAUAGUUUAUUAUUAUUAUUAUUAUUAUUAUUAUUAUUAUUAUUAUUAUUAUUAAAAUUUUGAAUCAGUUUUAUUUGUUUAUUUUCUGCUUUCAGUUUAAGGUCACACUUUGCAAUAAGGUUUUAUUUGUUAACAUUUGUUAACUUCAUUAGUUAACAUGAACCAACAAUGAACAGUUGUAUUUUUAUUAAAAUUAACAUUUAUUAAACAUUAACAAAUACAGUAACAAAUGUCUUGUUCAUUGUUCAUCAAUGUUAAUGCUAACACAUUAACUAAUGGGACCUUAUUGUAAAGUCUUAGCCAUUUUAAUUUUGAAGUUUGUCUUUUUUAAUAUCUAUGUAAAUUUGUUUAAUUUUCAUUUUAGUUUUAUUUUAGUGUAUUCAAUA